rnacentral:tRNA from 1 species
GCCUGGGUGGCUCAGUCGGUUCAGCCCCCUGACUUCGGCUCAGGUCAUGAUCUCACAGUUCGUGGGUUCGAGCCCCACAUCAGGCU